UCUAGGAGUCUUUUUUUUGGUGUCAAAACCUGUUGGUCAGAAUACUGGUACAGCAUAUACUGACUACAGUGGAGCUGUUUGACUAACGUUAUUGGUUAAAAAAAACAUUUUGGUCAGUAUUUUGACUUAUAUCACAGAAAUGUCUUAUUAUGUGUGUGUACUAUAAUGCAGUUGUUUUGUUUAACUCAUAUCUCCUUGUAUGAUUAUUGUUAGUUUGACUCAGCCUUCACAAGCAAUCUAGCUAACUAACUUAGCACGGCAGCCGACAUGUCAUCUGAACAGGCCUCGCAGCACUGUAGCUAAGUUAGGUCUCGCAAUAUGAGACUGGACAGCAGUAGGCCUGUCACAUGAUAACCACAAGUAAGUAAUUUGUAUUAACUUGCUUACAUUACGGUGUUUUAUUAACCUGAAUUCUGUUGAUAUAUUAGCUCGCAAAGGACUAUCCGUUGCUAACACUAAUUCAUCUCAAAAAGCAGAAACGUUAGCUAACUACUGCCAAGAUAUGGUUUCCCUGGAGACCAGAGAGGUGUUGUAAAUUUUAUUCUUACUCGUCAAAUGUUGUCAUAUGUUUGCACUGUGCAUAGUGUAUCCUUAUUUAUUUUUUAAAAAUCUUUAAAAUGAAACCAUAUCUUGGAAGUAAAGUUAGCUAGUGCUUUUUGACAUAAAUUAGCAAACGUUAGCAUUAGCAACAGAUAGUUACUUUGCAAGCUAAUAAAAUAUAGCCUUGGAAAACAGAAUUCAAGUUAAUAAACAUAAUAACUAGCUAUGUAACCAGUAUUACUUAUACUUCUUACAAGUGGCUGUAUUGUAAGAUUUUAGGUGUAUUUGGACAUGUUGGAUG